ensembl:lncRNA
GAUAAAUGGAAUUUUGCAGAUGUAAUCAGGAUGUAAAAUCAGUUGACUUUGCCUUCCUCUAAAGGGAGGUUAUCUUGGUGGGUGUAAUCUAAUCGAAUGGGGUCUGUCUCUAGGAACCGAGCACGAAGGACUCUGGGAGGACAGCCAGCCAGGAGAAUAAGACCUCAGUCCCGCAACUGCACAAAAUGGAAUUCCAAACACCCAGAUGAGCUUGCAGGCAGGCGAUUCCCUAGAUCCUCAAGACGUGGCCCUGUUGUCAGCCCAGGCCGCCCUCCCUCCUGGGCUUGGCUGGUGUCAGAUCUCAGAGGUACUGAUGCUUGGAAAAGAAGCCUUUCUUGGGAGUUCAUCACGUCAAAGUCUCCUGCAGACUGCACACUGUUUUUCACCAUCAGUCUGUGACGAAUAGGAACCUUCCAGGAGGUGUCGGUGAUCAGGA